rnacentral:misc_RNA from 1 species
CAGCUGAGUGCAUUGCUUCAUUUACUGCGCUUGCGCUGACUUUACUUCCAGGCAUUCAUCGUUGAAGAGAACUAUUAGUAUUAGCUUUCAUGGCUUACGAACAAUCAGCCCUUCUAUUGAGAAAACAAUUGGCUGAUUUGAACAAAAAUCCAGUGGAAGGAUUUUCAGCAGGCCUGAUAGAUGAUGAAGACUUGUACAAAUGGGAGGUAGUCAUUAUUGGACCACAAGACACCCCAUAUGAAGGAGGAUUCUUUAAAGCACACCUUAUCUUCCCUAAGGAAUACCCCCAUAGGCCUCCAAAAAUGGUAUUCAAGUCAGAGAUUUGGCAUCCAAACAUUGGUCCUGAUGGAGUAGUGUGCAUAUCUAUCCUUCAUGAACCUGGUGAUGAUAAAUAUGGAUAUGAAACUGCUUCAGAACGUUGGUUACCUCCAAUGUUGAUGCAGCUAAAAUGUGGAGAGAACAGCCGGAAGAUUUCAAAAAACGAGUGGCACGUUGUGUCAGAAAAAGUCAGGAUGACUUCUUAUAGAAUACACUCAGCUUCUCAUCAGAACUAUUACCAUCCCUGUGAUCAUUUCCUGUUUCAUGAAGACUUUAUGGAGAGUUGAUAACUUAUUUCACACAGAAUUAAGUUCAAUACCAUUCUUAAUAUGCAAAACAUAUUUCAAACAGCAUGGUGGCAUUGUUCAUAGUGUGAAAGUUUUGUUUUGGAGUGUCUAGCUUUGUGGAUUUUUCUUUCUUAAAAAACUGGUUAGAUAUCGGAUAAAAAUUGGAGGUCUCAACAUUUUAAAGAGAUAAAGAAAUUGUAGCAAAAUAUGCAGAUGUUGUUUGAUUGUCAAAGGAGAGAAAUGAUUAAUAAUGAUGAAAGUACAUUAAGUACAUUUUCAUUACAAAAGAAGACAGUAAUCAAAAUUCAAGUCUGUUUUAUGCACUGGUCUGUAUGAAAUACAUUGCCAGUUGGCUCCAUGUGACAUAAAUUGAUAAUGCACAAACAUUUACAAUAUGGGUGUACUUGAUGUGAGAGUUUUGCAAGUGCUAAAAGAUUGAGUUGAAUAGGAAUGUCUGAAAGAUUUGUUUUAAAACUACCUUAUUACUUAUUCAUCUUGGAAGUACCUCAUGUACUAUUAUGUGAAAUGAAGAGGGACAAAUUUAACCUCAUUUUUCAAAAUAUUUUGGACUUGGUAUUUGUAUGGAAAUGUUGACAUAUUCCAAAGUAUGCAUAUUUUCUGUACAGAUACAAGUAAAGCCUACAACAUAUUAUUAUAUUCUUUGUUCCUGUAAUAUUUAUUAUUCAUUUGUGUAUAUGUGUAUUUGCUUCAAAUUGUUCCUGUUAUUCUGAAUUGGAAGCAUACUUAUAUGUACAUACAUAAAUAUAUUCUGGUUUUGAACUGAAGUUGGUGGAUAAAGAUAUAAUUAUUAAGGUGAGAAAAAAGUAUCACAAUUUAUUUUAAUGAAAUUAUAAGGGAUUCAUAAAUUUGGAAACCGCAAAAGAAUGCAGCAGUUUUGAAACUUGGUUUUUAUGUGUCUGUGGAGUUUGCUUACCAUCAAAUUCAGGGCACUUGUUUUGAAUGAACAUUGUAUGUCAGUUAUAUUUGUCUCAGGUAAAUAAAUUCCUGUGUUGUAAAAAUUGACAUGUAUGUGUAGUUAUUAUUAUUUAUAAAAUGUGCACAAAAAAAUAAAUUGAAUUGGGUUGUCAACAUAG